rnacentral:rRNA from 1 species
CCUAGUUCCACAGGCCACAACGACGCCAACUCCUCCCCAGUCCCCACGUUCCCCACUCACCCUUCCCCAAUCCUCAUUCCCCAGUUCCCCGAGCCCGAUGGCACUGUUCCUACCCUAGCCGCCACAGGCCAUGCCGGCUGCCCGCCUGCCCGGCUGCUCCUCGACGGUCGCCGCCGCAAGCCCACCGGUCUCAGUGGCCGCUCGACCGCCCCGCCGCCCACCGUCCCGCCGUCUGCUCUCCCAUCGUCCCGCCGUCCACUGUCCCGCCGACCGCCGUCCACCGUCCCGUUCCGCCGUCCCCCGUCCCCCGUCCCGCCGUCCCGGACUCCUGGUCGCUGGCCCACAUCCCCGUCCCUGGUGUUGCAUCGUCGGCGCGAAGGAUCUUGGUCGCUGGCCAUCGAAGCAGCGAAGGAUCUUGUAAGGUAUAUCUCGUACAUACUCCCUCCGUUCCAAAAUAGAUGACCCAACUCUAUACUAACUUUGUACUAAAAUUAGUACAAAGUUGAGUCAUCUAUUUUGAAACGAAGGGAGUAUGUUCGUAAUCCUCUGAAGUCUGAACUUGAAGCAGUGAAGGAUGUUGGUGUUCUACUGUUUUUGACUUGUUGUUAAAAGCUUACUCAGAUGUACUCUAUUUUUGGAACUUGGAAGUGUGUGGCUCUGUUUCUAUCUCACUUCAAAUAGAACAUGGAUGAAAGUAAGUGUAAAUGCCACUGACCCACUGUUUCCAUCUCACUUCAAAUAGAAUAUGGAGCAUCAGUAAGUAUAAAUCAAUCAUCAUUCAUAUAGACUAAUAAAUAGAAGAAGAGGGAAAAUAAUCACAUCAGUAAGUACCUUUGUUCAUGGUUUGAGAAAUUUGGGACUACCCGAACCCGAAAAUUCGGGUACCCGAUAUUUCGGGCUUUAUUUUUUUAGAGAUAUUUCGGGAGUUGUUUUUGAAAACUCGAAUUAAA